GUUGCAUCUAUAGCGUGCACGGCACUGCAGGUAAACGAAAGGCUGUUGACAGCGUUCCACUUAACUCAAUUACAGCAUUCACCCAUUUAAUAAGAAAGGCGCCGGUCUCGGAAAUCCCUUCUCUCUCUCCCUUCUCUUUCUCCGCCGAUCUCACCAUUCUCUCUCUCUCUCUCUCUCUCUCUCUCAGAGAACCACACACGAAGAGAGAGAGAGAGGACAGCAAAGGAAUGGCCUUCACCAAUCGAGCACCAGCAGUACCACCAUCCGGCCUCGAUCCCGUCAUCUCCAAGCCCCAUCGCUUGUCUGACCUCGACCACAACUUGAUAUUGGGUUACAGAAAUGCAUGUGGAUGGCUUUCGCUUUUAUCUUGCUUCUAUCCUGACGAGGGGUAGCAGUCUAUGGGAUGCAGUUAAUGUAUAUGGCAAUCCAAUGGGUGGUGACUUGCUGACAACCGGCACUCCUUUCAGCAACCCACCAUUAAUUGAUAUAAUUAGCAAUGAUCCAGUACUUCGCGGAGUCAAGGUAAUUACUGUUGGCUCUUUCUUUAUUCUCAUUAGGGAAGUUCGGCCUUUAGUAACAUGCCUACCUAUCUCAGUCAGUGGAGGAAAGAAGAAUAAGUGUUUCCCACUUCUUUUCCAAGUAAAAUUUUAGUACCAGCAAUAUCUUCCCAUCCAUGUGGAGGCAAAUAGAAUGAGGUACAAAAGCUAUUUUGGGUUCAAGUCUCUUCGUCUACAUUUGUUUCUCGCUGCAUUCUUGGUCUCUUGCCGCUGUCUUCUUCUCUAUGUUCGUGGAUGAUUUUCAUAAAGAGCUUAAGCGUUUGGGAUUAUCGUGAUUAAAUAAGUGCUAGCACUAGAAUUGCUUGCCAAUUGCAGGACUUAUUCCUUACAUUAGGUAGUAACCCAUGCCAUCGUUGUGGUGAGAGCACAUUUGUCAGCCUUGAAGUCUUUGAGCACUUGAAGACUCAUGGGAUGAGCACUGCGGAGUUCUCUUUCACCUUCAACAAGAUAAAGGGCUAACCUCCCUGAGUUUUGUUAACUAGGUCGACCAACAAAUGGGGCUUGGUUGACCAAAGCAAGGUCCUUUUUUUUUUGCUAAGGACCAAAGCAAGGUCCUGCAUGCUAUUGAAGCAUCCUACAUUUUGUCAACCAAUGCAGUUUGGUUGGCCAAAGUGGGAAGUCUUUAAACCCAUUGACAUAUAAGCAGUGGCUAUGACUGUGGGGCGUUGGCCCUUAUUUGGCCAAAUUAGUCUGAUGAAGCUUGGUGAUAUAUCCUUGUACUCACUAAUACUCGUGUAUACAUACACACACACACUGAUAUGUUGGGUUGAAUUGGCAAACUUCAUUUGCUUGUUUCUUGUACUUCCUUAGUGAAUUAUCUCAUCAAAUUAGUACAUUAUAUGAUACUCGCAUCUGUGCUGGCUUCUUCUAUUUUCAUUAAUAACUUGCAUUUCAUUUUGUGUCGUU